rnacentral:rRNA from 1 species
GACUGCAGUCUGCAACUCGACUGCACGAAGUCGGAAUUGCUAGUAAUCGCGGAUCAGCAUGCCGCGGUGAAUACGUUCCCGGGUCUUGUACACACCGCCCGUCACACCAUGAGAGCCGGAAACACCCGAAGUCCGUAGCCUAACCGCGAAGGGGGGCGCGGCCGAAGGUGGGUUUGGUAAUUGGGGUGAAGUCGUAACAAGGUACC